GUGCUGCUUACAUGGAUAUGAUGUUUGGAGAUGUUGAUUAAGGGUAACCCUUAAGGUAUGCUAUACGCUUUAGGCUAUAACGGUGUUUAAGCACACAGCAAUUAUUUACAUUCCUUUGGAGGCUUAAAAUGCCUCCACAGAAAUGGAGAGUGUUCUAGCCCAUUACGGGCCAGCAGAGAGUCCUCAUUUCUAACUUUAUUUUUGUUUGUUUGUGUGUUUGCUUUUUAGAUUUGAAAAUAUGGGCGAAGUGGAGUGACACAUAAAAGUCAAAGAAACUGCAAGUCAGCACAAUGGAUCCUGGGAAGAAACCGGAGGCAAAAGGUGACACUACUCUAACCAGUCAGAGAAGUUGUUCUGGAGAUUAAGUUUCCUCCCUUUAUCAGGACAUUGGUAGGACACACCUGAGGACAUGAGACCUCUGAUGAAGUACCACACAGGUACAACGUAACCUCUCCCACUGCUGCACUGGCACAGCCUGCUGGAAUCUGAAUCAUCAUGAGAAGGUGACAGUGUCUGAAACAUAGACACUACAGAUGGCAAGCACAGCCCCAAGCAAAAGCACAUCCCCAAAGAAAAGCACACACACACAAAAAAAACAAAUACCGGAGACAAACAGGCCUUUAAAAUAAAUGAAUGAAGAAACAAACAAAAAAGAGAAAGCCUUAAAGGGAGACCCUUGGAAGAGUUACAAAGAUCUCUAGGAAGAAACAAUGCAAUAAGGACGGGGUGAAUUGCAUAAUGCUGCCUGAUCCAUCUAGAGGGAGCCUCCAGAUGUUCCCUGUAACUCUCACGGAGAUGCAAGUUGUCUCAUCAAGAAAAUGCAGCUGGUGGAUGCAGGAGUCAAAGCUUAUUUUUCCAAAAGCAUCCUCUAAUGCCACUGUACAUUGAGACGCUUUGAAUAUUCAGUCUGAAAAACAAUGCCCACAUUUUUCAGAGCUGCUGAGCAUCUCUGGAUCCCACCUGAGAGGACCAGAUCUGCAGGCCCUGACCACCCUCCAAAACGCCAGGGUAAGCUCCAGCUAAACCAUGUUUCCUGCAGACAGACAUCAUUGCCCAGUGACUUUUUUGUUGCUGAUUCCACGUGGAAACAAACAUCCCUGCAGAGCACUGUGCAAGACGAGAGACUCAGUAAUGGACUAAGCUGGAGACAAACAGAGACUACCUGCAGUAAAGACAGAUGCUUCUGGCACCAAGCCAGUGCUCAGACAACUUUCCCCUUUUUAUUGACUUCUGUUUCCAACAAUGGAGUUGAUCACAUUCCAAAUUGGGACUCCUGUGAACUUUACAGACACAGGAAAUUUAAGGCUUUUUGUAUUGUUAGGAAGUCAUUUACUUUUUAUCACGCAUCACAUAAGAUCUGGUCUACCUCUGGGACUGCAGCUCCUGAAAGGCAGAAAUACAUCACGAAUGCCUGA
rnacentral:lncRNA from 1 species